rnacentral:lncRNA from 1 species
GAAAUUAACAAUAAUUCUUUGAAUUUUUGUUAUAUUUUUUAACUCUGGACAGCCUUUGGCUUUAAUGGUAUUUCUACAUUUCCUGGUGACUAGGAAAAAUAUUAAGGUAGAGUCAUAUAUCACCUAAGACAGGGAUAAGUUCUGAGAAAUACAGUGUUAGACAGUUUCGUCCUUGUGCGAACAUCAUAGUAUGUACUUACACAAACCUAGAUGGUAUAGCCUACUACACACCUAGGCGAUAUGGUACUAAUCUUAUGGGACCACCGUUGUAUAUGUGGUCCCUUGUUGACCGCAACAUCAUUAUGUGACACAAGACUGUAAUGUCAUAAAAUUUAUUCUUUUUAUUUUACCUUUCUCAUUUCUUGAUUGACCUUAUUUUGUAUAUGUAUAUAAAUAACCUGGAUACUGCUUGGUCACCAGGAGUGUACAGGUUUUUGAACAUUUGGAAAUUAUUUUUUUUUUUAAUGAUUGGCACCUGAGCUAACAACUGUUGCCAAUCUUCUUUUUUUUCUUUUUCCUGCUUUCUCUCCCCAAAUCCCCACAGUACAUAGUUGUAUAUUUUAGUUGUAGGUCCUUCUAGUUGUGGCACGUGGGUGGUGCCAUGUCCGCGCCCAGGAUCUGAACCAGUGAAAGCCUGGGCCGCCGCAGCAGAGCGCGCAGACUUAAUGACUCAGCCACGGGGCCGGCCCCUCUUUGGAAAUUUCACACAGCAAAUAGGGAAUUAAUAUAGAGGUUUUCCUCCUAUAAAAGGGCUUCCAUUUGAUUUUAUGUUCAAAACUAUAUAAUGUACUUUUGUUUUACUGUCUCUGAAAUGACUAAAUCUUGCCCUUGGAAAACCUGAAUCUUUGCACAUGUUAUUUCCAGAGUCUACCUCAGUUAACCAGGUUUAGUUUUAGGUAGGAAUGAAUUGAAACCAUGUUUAAAUUCGGUUCAUCAUCUAUGCAGGUUUGUUUGUUUAAGCAGUUCCUUCUCUCCCCUCUUGCCUUACUCUAGUUAACUUUUUUUAAUCCUGAAAUUUUAAUUUAAAACAUUUGUCUUUCUUCCUCUGGCAAAGCCAUAUAUUCCAAAUUAAGCCUCUGUGAAAUGUCUGAAUUCUUUUUCUCUCUUUGUUAUGGCUAUCUUCAUUAUUUGGAUGUAUUUCAUUUCAAGGAGGAGUUUGAAACACAACACACGUCCUCCUGUUUUCUCAUAGCUUCAUAAAGACAAAUUAAUGUGACAACAUGAAAAGCCUUGGACCCUAGCAGUUCCUGUGUCCGUUCUCUAAGAACCUGAGUACUUACUGACAGCAUACAGAAACGGACACCUGUCUGCUCAUAUGGCAGAGCAGCAGGGCGUCUCCUUCAGUUAGCGUUGUGUGGACAUGUCCAGCGAGAUCACUACAGCUUACCACGUGCAUAUGCCCAGUGCUGCCUAGUGAUGUGACAUGGCGAUGGGCUCAUACGGCAGAACAUACUUGAGUGUCGGGAUGUUUGCCCAGAGAAGCCAGGAAUUUAGCUGGUCUUCUUGGGACCCUCCCUGUAAAUUUGGAGAGGCUCAGCAGUGACCGAGGGCCUUGAGACCUGAAACUGGGAGCAAAUGGUGUGGUCCAGUCCCCUCAUCUUACAGGAGAGGAAACUGAGCUUUAUAGAAAGACUUGCUCUAGUUAUUUGGCUACUAAGAAAUGGAAGAAAGAAUGGAACCUAGGUGAACAAUUACAAAAAACAUAUAAGCACAGUCUGGCCUAUGGUGAUGACCUCUCUGAAUUGAGAACCAUGAGAUUUCAAAGGUCACAUGAUUUGGCUCCAGUGAUAGAAUCUAGGUUUCCUGCAAACCUAAAGGAAUUCAGCAAGUGGGAGCUGCCUCGGGCCUCUGGAUGUAGAGGGACUGAGGCCUAGUGAGGUGAUUUGCCCAAGAUUGCACAGCAAGACUUUACUACAGUGCUCUCUUCACAACAUCAACUUGGAAAAUGUUGGAGAAGAAUUGCUGCUUUGCUAAUUGUAAGGGAAAAUGGUUCUCUUGUUCCUGAAAUCAUACCCCUCCUGGGAGACAGAGGAAUAAAACAGAACCUGAAUGGUCAGUCUUGGAAUGAAAACUGGCUCAAUUUUCUAUCAAUUUUUUUUCUCAGCCACAUUCGUAUUAGGGGCAACUUAUUUAAAUUUAUUAUGUAGCAUCAACAGAGCACCAGGAUUUGUUUAGUGCUACAGUAAGUCACAGUUCCUGCCAAGGCAAAUUGCAUCUCUAUUUUAUAAAUAGUCUGUACCCUGUGCUUAUUUGAUUUAAAAUAAAAUCUGUAUGUAG